rnacentral:rRNA from 1 species
GAUCAUUACUGUAGGGACCUCGGUCCUUCCAAGAUGCAACCCUUGCCUUUUUUUUCAGCGUCUCUCCGUUUCCUCGGCAGCUCCGCCUGCCAGCGAGGACCCCUUGAAAACCUCUUGCAAUCCCGUAAAAACUUCUGAAAAUACACAAAAACUUCAAAACUUUCAACAAUGGAUCUCUUGGCUCUGGCAUCGAUGAAGAACGCAGCGAAAUGCGAUAAGUAGUGUGAAUUGCAGAAUUCAGUGAAUCAUCGAAUCUUUGAACGCACAUUGCGCCCUUUGGUAUUCCUUAGGGCAUGCCUGUUCGAGCGUCAUUUCAAAAUUCAAGCUCAGCUUGGUGAUGGGCGUCUGUCCCGCCUCCGUGCGCGGACUCGCCUCAAAAGCAGUUGGCAGCUCCCUUUUCGGCUCUAAACGCAGCAGAUUUGCGUGAUGCGGCGAGAGGAAGGGCUUACCAGUAAGCAGAAACACCCCAGAUUGACCUCGGAUCAGGUAGGGAUACCCGCUGAACUUAAGCAUAUCAUA